GAGUUGACUUCUCCACAUCGCAUUCAGUAAAGAAGGGCACGAAAAUAAGGUCUUGCUCGGUCAGAAAGCGACGAUUUUUCUUUUACGUGAGGUAAAGUGAAUGAAAAAAAAACGUGAUUAAGAUUGUUUUAACACGGCGAUGAUUGAAGAAAACGUAUCUGAUGUGAGAGUGGAAGAUUAAAAACGUGGGAUAGUUGGUGAAAAUUUCAACAUUGUACACCUACGGGGCGUUUCGCUCACAUCAGGCGAGCAUAUUGUCUUCUGGGAAUGUAAUGCAAAAAUUAAACUUCAACUCCAGUGAAUCCCAGUGUGCUUUGGUGUUGUGUGCAAUUGUGGGAAGCAAAUAAGCUUGAAAGUGAAUAAAAUUUUUUGCUCAUUUUUGUGCUGUAAUUGUGCAAGUAAAAAGAAGAAAAAAAAGUGCAUCGCGAGUGAAAGAGAAACGAGAAAAAACUAGAAAUAAAAAAAAAACUCGUGAACGGAAGUGAUAUUGUAAAAUAUAAAGAAUAUUGUCUACAGUUGGAAAUAAGCUGCAAAGGAAACAAAAAUUCGCUAAUUGGAACAGCGAAUCUGCAAAAGAAGUGUUUCAAAUAAAGGGUAAGUUGAGUAAAAAAUUUUAAUAACAAAACAGACUGACACAAAACUUUUUUACACAGGUACGUACAAAACUGGACUUGACAGCUAGAUUCAGAAACAAAUCAAUUAAAUAGCAAAAACGAAAAAAAAAGAGGAAAAUUGUUUAUUACAAAGCCAUGUUGUUGUUUAUUAGGCAAAUCGUUGUUUGGUGGUAGAUCGUUUCAAACACCCUAAUAAAAAAAAAACAAACAUUAAAUGGAAAAUGGAGGG